CCUACGGGUGGCAGCAGUGAGGAAUAUUGGUCAAUGGACGAGAGUCUGAACCAGCCAAGUAGCGUGAAGGAUGACUGCCCUAUGGGUUGUAAACUUCUUUUAUAUGGGAAUAAAACGUUCCACGUGUGGGAUUUUGUAUGUACCAUAUGAAUAAGGAUCGGCUAACUCCGUGCCAGCAGCCGCGGUAAUACGGAGGAGCCGAGCGUUAUCCGGAUUUAUUGGGUUGAAAGGGAGCGUAGGUGGAUUGUUAAGUCAGUUGUGAAAGUUUGCGGCUCAACCGUAAAAUUGCAGUUGAAACUGGCAGUCUUGAGUACAGUAGAGGUGGGCGGAAUUCGUGGUGUAGCGGUGAAAUGCUUAGAUAUCACGAAGAACUCCGAUUGCGAAGGCAGUUCACUGGACUGCAACUGACACUGAGGCUCGAAAGUGUGGGUAUCAAACAGGAUUAGAUACCCUAGUAGUC
rnacentral:rRNA from 1 species